UGUAGUCUCUUGACCAGUAACAUUUUCGGACGCGGGUUCGACUCCCGCCGCCUCCACCA
rnacentral:misc_RNA from 1 species